UCUCAAUAAAAGAAUAUUAGUUCCGCCUAAAGCAAUAAUAAUCUUAACAAAUUAAUUUCAUCCUUUAGAGUAAUUCAAAUAAGGUACAGCCUGUUUGAUUUUGGAUUCAACCUUUACUUUCGGGUAAUAUAUCAACUUUUACACAUAAGUUGGCUUAAGAGCAGCCACCUUUCAAAAAGCGUCAAAGCUUAUCCGUACUCACAUAAAUCCACCUAUUCACCUAGACCCCUACAACCCCACUGAGAAAUUCUAUAAUUUAUAGAAGAUAUUAUGCUAAAACUAGUAACAAGAGGAACAACCUCUCUUUAUGCAAACAUAAGCCAAGAAGAAUCCAUCAUUGGCAAUUAACAAUUUAUAGUAGUAACACUCCAAGAAAACCCUACUCAAACAACUGUUAACCUAACACCAGAGCAUUUCAAGAAAGAUUAAAAGAAAAAGAAGGAACUCGGCAAAUAAUUUAUUCCGCCUGUUUACCAAAAACAUCGCCUCUUGACCCCCAUAAGAGGUCCAGCCUGCCCAGUGACCUAGUUCAACGGCCGCGGUACCCUAACCGCGCGAAGGUAGCGUAAUCACUUGUCUUCUAAAUAGAGACUAGUAUGAAAGGCAUCACGAGAACUUAACUGUCUCCCUUUUCCAAUCAGUGAACCUAAUCUCCCCGUGAAGAAGCGGGGAUUCACAAAUAAGACGAGAAGACCCUAUGAAGCUUUAAACACUAACUAUCUGCUCACAUAAUAGCACUCAGGCUUCUAAACUAAUGCACUAUAGCCAUGCGUUUUUGGUUGGGGUGACCGCGGAAAAUAACAGAACCUCCACAAUGAAACCUUUCAAACUAUAAACUACAACUUUAAGUAUCAACAAACUGACAUCCAUUGACCCAAUAUAUUGAUUAAUGAACCAAGUUACCCUAGGGAUAACAGCGCAAUCCACUUCAAGAGCUCAUAUCGACAAGUGGGCUUACGACCUCGAUGUUGGAUCGGGGUAUCCCAGUGGUGCAGCAGCUACUGAAGGUUCGUUUGUUCAACGAUUAAAACCCCACGUGAUCUGAGU
rnacentral:rRNA from 1 species